rnacentral:rRNA from 1 species
GAACGGGUGAGUAACACGUGGGUGAUCUGCCCUGCACUCUGGGAUAAGCCUGGGAAACUGGGUCUAAUACCGGAUAGGACCAUGCUUUAGUGUGUGUGGUGGAAAGUUUUUUCGGUGUAGGAUGAGCCCGCGGCCUAUCAGCUUGUUGGUGGGGUAAUGGCCUACCAAGGCGGCGACGGGUAGCCGGACUGAGAGGUUGGUCGGCCACAUUGGGACUGAGAUACGGCCCAG